UCCCCAGCGCCCCGGCGCUGGGCAUAGGCCUAAAAUGGGCGCCCCGGCGCUGGCCCAAAAUCCGACAUUUUCUGCUCCGACGUCCUUUGGGAAAAUGGCCAUAACUUCUUCGUCCGAACUCCGAUUUCGAUGAUUCAAGAUGUUCCGGAAAGAGGAGAAGUAGAUCUACAACUUUCAUUCUUUGAGUUUUCCGAAAUAAUGUCAGGAGCUAUAGUCAAAUUGGCUCUGAAGUGACUGCUGUGUAAAUGGCAAGCCGAAAACGCGAAUCUAGCCACCCCAAACAUCGAUCCAUGUAACUUUUGUCCCAAAUCCUACAAAACAAUAUAAAACAUGCUUGAAUAGACACAAACACAUAAAAACAUCCUAAAAGACUUAAGAACAACAAUAAAUUAAGCCCGAAUGUAUCCAAUUCAUGGGUAUAAAACUCACUCAU
rnacentral:lncRNA from 1 species